GAGGAAAAGGAACACAAGUUUGUUAGCAUUUGUGGCGGAUUAAAGAAAGCUGAAAAUUCUUUGAUGCUUUUCACAUUAAGAAAUGGGUCUCUGGGCAGGUCCGCCCCUAUGGUUUUGUAGGGAACAGCCUCCCUCCAGGCUGCUUUCAUGGAAUGGCAUUGAGUGUCUGUGGCUUUUCUAGGCAUGCAGUGCAAGCUGUUAGUGGAUCUACGGUUUUGGGGUCUGUCUCCCAACCAGGUCCCUCCCACAACAGUGGGAAUUAUGGCCCAGAGCCAGACCAUAUCAGCAACUUACUAAAUGGUAGAAAAUAUUUGUGAGCCAUAUAUCUGAUAAGAGAGAUCAAUGUAUCCUUUGGGAUAUGUAAUAUAUUCUUAUAUUACUGAAUUUGGGUAUCCCAAUAUCCAAAAUAUCCAAGGAACUCCUACAUCGUCAUGCAUGAGUGCACAACACACACAUACACACACACAUAUAAUGAGUAAUUAAAAAAUAGACAAAGGACUUGAAUAAAUUAUUUGUCCAAAGAAGACAUACGAGUGGCCAACAGGAAUGUAAAAAUAAUGCUCAACAUCACUAAUCAUCAGGAAAAUGUAAAUCAAAACUACAAUGAGACAUCACCUCACACCUCUUAAGAUGGACAUAAAAAAUAAUGAAAAUGAAACAAAAUAACAAAUGUUGUCAAGGAUGUAGAGAAAUUGGAACCCUUGUGAACUG
rnacentral:lncRNA from 1 species